GACUCCGUAGCUCAGCGGGAGAGCACUUGCUUGACAGGCAAGGGGUCGGUGGUUCAAGUCCACUCGGAGUCA
rnacentral:tRNA from 1 species